GACGAACGCUGGCGGCGUGCUUAACACAUGCAAGUCGAACGAAGUGGCGAACGGGUGAGUAACGCGUAAUCAACCUGCCCUUCAGAGGGGGACAACAGUUGGAAACGACUGCUAAUCCCGCAUACUGAAGGAGGGGAUUGCGUCUGAUUAGCUAGGUGGAGGGGUAACGGCCCACCAAGGCGAUGAUCAGUAGCCGGUUGGGCAGGAUGGACGGCCAAAUGGGGACUGGGACACGGCCCAGAAUCCUACGGGAGGCAGCAGUGGGGAAUCGUCCGAAAUGGACGAAAGUCUGACGGAGCAACGGCGCGUGAGUGGUGACGGCCUUCGGGUUGGAAAGCUCUGUUAAGCGGGACGCGGUACCGGAAGAGAAAGCCACGGCUAACUACGUGCCAGCAGCCGCGGUAAUAC
rnacentral:rRNA from 1 species